rnacentral:rRNA from 1 species
CAAUAGCGUAUAUUAAAGUUGUUGCAGUUAAAAAGCUCGUAGUUGGAUUUGUGGCGUACGGUGUGUUCCGGGCACUUGUUGUCUGAGUAACCUGCUGUUGCCAUCCUUGGGUGGAACCUGUGUGGCAUUAGGUUGUCGUGCAGGGGAUGCCCAUCAUUUACUGUGAAAAAAUUAGAGUGUUCAAAGCAGGCUUAUGCCGUUGAAUAUAUUAGCAUGGAAUAAUGAGAUAGGACUUUUUUGCUAUUUUGUUGGUUUGCGCAAGAAGGUAAUGAUUAAUAGGGACAGUUGGGGGUAUUCGUAUUCCAUUGUCAGAGGUGAAAUUCUUAGAUUUUUGGAAGACGAACUACUGCGAAAGCAUUUACCAAGGAUGUUUUCAUUAA